GGAGGAGAUGGGACUUAGUUGGAGGAAGUAGGUCACUAGUGGGUGUUCAUAGGUGAUCUUUUAUCUGGGUUUCCUUCCCCACAUGCUCAUUACUAUGUUCUUUCUAACCAGAUGGGGCCAUACAACUAUGAAUUGAGCCUUGGGGUUUUUGCCACAGCAGUGUGAAAAAUAACUUACCCAAAAUGUUGCAUAGAAGAGGAAAAUGGCAAAACGAGCUGGAGAAACCAAAGCAACUCUAAAUAUUGUCAAGUGGACAGUGAAGAUUCUCCAUCAUAA
rnacentral:lncRNA from 1 species